ACGCUCGACACCUACGGGAGGCAGCAGUUGGGAAUAUUGGACAAUGGAGGAAACUCUGAUCCAGUGACGCCGCGUGAAGGAAGAAGGUCUUCGGAUUGUAAACUUAUUUUGUCAGGGAAGAAAAAAAUGACUGUACCUGAAGAAAAAGCACCGGCUAACUACGUACCAGCAGCCGCGGUAAUCUGAGCGGGCUGGCAAGGC
rnacentral:rRNA from 1 species